AUGUCGUCGACGUUCGCCGGUGUAUCCGUCCUGGCCGGCGGCGAGCUGUGCCCUUCCACCGAGUCGCCCGUCGUCACCAGCACGGACUGCGGGUACCACCUGCUUGUGGUCCAGGACUACUCGCUGACCAAGCGAGCGACACCCACCGGCAUGAGCAUCUGCUCUCGCCCUUUCAUGGUGGGACGCCAUGAGUGGUGCAUCGAGUACUAUCCUAACGGUCAGAAGAAGAGCUGUGCCGACUUCAUUUCUCUAUAUGUUAACCUUCUCAACGACGACGACGAUGCCAAAGAGCGUGUGAAGGCGAAGUUCGAGUUCAGUUUCAUCGACGAGGCGGAGAAGCACAAGCCGAUGUACAUUUCUGGAACCGAGACACUCAGCUUCCGCGGCGAGUGUCUGCGGGGCUACGGCAAGUUCAUGAGAAAAGAUGUCCUUGAACAAUCAGCGAAUCUGAUGGAUGAUUGUUUCACCGUCCGGUGUGACAUCAUGGUCUGCGACACACAGGAUGCCGGUCGCAACAAGGUGCUCCUGUCUGAAAUAGACCAGCAUUUAAACAAUCUCCUUCAGACUAAGGUGGGUGCUGAUGUCACAUUCGAGGUCAGCGGCGAGAUGUUCGCUGCACACCGAUGUGUGCUUGCAGCCCGUUCUAAAGUAUUCAUGGCACAAUUCUUCGGCCCCAUGAAGGAGGGCACUGCUGCAUCAAGUGCCAUCCAGAUCAAAGACAUGGAAGCAAAAGUGUUCAAGGCUUUGCUUAGCUUCAUCUACACGGACUCACUCCCUCUAUUGGAGGACGACGACAUGGAGGAGGAUGAAGGAGAGGCCGUGGAAGAAGGACAAGAAGAGGAAGCAGCAGAGGAUGAAAUGGCAGAAGUUGCGGAACAAGGAGAAGGAGAGGAUGCAGCAGAGGAUGAAACGGAGCUGCAAUGGCUACAAGAUUUGCUUGUAGCUGCAGACAGAUAUGAUCUCCAACGGCUCAGGUUUAUCUGUGAAAAGCGAUUGUCUGAGCGCAUAGGUGUGACCUCAGUGGCAUCCACUCUUACUCUAGCUGAGCAGCUCCACUGCCGCGGAUUGAAGGAGGCGUGCUUGAAGUUUAUCCAAGUCCAAUCUCCCUUGUGUUUGCAAAAAGUAAUGGCGACUGAUGGCUGGGAGCCGUUAAUUAUGACCUACCCCUCUGUUUUGAACGAGCUCAUUGCCAAACUUGCUUCAAACCAGAAGUAA
rnacentral:rRNA from 1 species